rnacentral:rRNA from 1 species
AUUGAACGCUGGCGGCAUGCUUUACACAUGCAAGUCGAACGGUAACAGGGUGCUUGCACCGCUGACGAGUGGCGAACGGGUGAGUAAUGCGUCGGAACGUGCCGAGUAGUGGGGGAUAACGCAGCGAAAGUUGUGCUAAUACCGCAUUCGUACUGAGGUAGAAAGUGGGGGACCUUCGGGCCUCACGCUAUUCGAGCGGCCGACGUCUGAUUAGCUAGUAGGUGAGGUAAAGGCUCACCUAGGCGACGAUCAGUAGCGGGUCUGAGAGGAUGAUCCGACACACUGGGACUGAGACACGGCCCAGACUCCUACGGGAGGCAGCAGUGGGGAAUUUUGGACAAUGGGCGGAAGCCUGAUCCAGCCAUGCCGCGUGUCUGAAGAAGGCAGUCGGGUUGUAAAGGACUUUUGUCAGGGAGGAAAUCCCUAGUGCUAAUAACACUGGGGGAUGACAGUACCUGAAGAAUAAGCACCGGCUAACUACGUGCCAGCCGCCGCGGUAA